GACGAACGCUGGCGGCGUGCUUAACACAUGCAAGUCGUACGGUAAGGCCCUUUCGGGGGUACACGAGUGGCGAACGGGUGAGUAACACGUGAGUAACCUGCCCACAACUUUGGGAUAACGCUAGGAAACUGGUGCUAAUACUGGAUAUGUGCUCCUGCUGCAUGGUGGGGGUUGGAAAGCUCCGGCGGUUGUGGAUGGACUCGCGGCCUAUCAGCUUGUUGGUGGGGUAGUGGCCUACCAAGGCGGCGACGGGUAGCCGGCCUGAGAGGGUGACCGGCCACAUUGGGACUGAGAGACGGCCCAGCCUCCUACGGGAGGCAGCAGUGGGGAAUAUUGCACAAUGGGCGCAAGCCUGAUGCAGCAACGCCGCGUGCGGGAUGACGGCCUUCGGGUUGUAAACCGCUUUCAGCAGGGACGAAGCUUUUUGUGACGGUACCUGCAGAAGAAGCACCGGCUAACUACGUG
rnacentral:rRNA from 1 species